AAGUGGGAAAGAAUCAGGUCAUCUAAUUGAAUUAGAAGGGGAAUUACCCAGACCCUGGAGCAGAGGUGAAGCAGCUCCCAGAAAGAAGGGCUGAAGACAGCACACAAAGAUGAGGAGUGGGGAAAUCAGUAAGAUAUUCAUUUGUGUCCAGAAGCAAAAAGGUCAAAAACCCAGAGCUGAGCUGCACAGGCACUGAGGAAAGCUGAGAUUGGCAGGCAGGUCUGGGCUGGGGCAGGAUCCCCAGAGGAAGAGAGAAAGCUCCAAGCCCCGCCAGGAUUUCUCGGCGGCUGCCUUGGCCUAACACUCAGUAUCGGUGCCUCAAGGGGAGGAUGAGUCAGUGCCAGCAGAUCCGACUUUAGGAUAAAAGCCACUGGAAGGCACUGGGCAAACGCAUUUCCUGUGAGAGGGCUCUCUUAUCACCCAAACCCUGGCCCUAUGCAGGAAACUAGGGGGUCCCUGGACCCUGCAGAAGAGCUCCUUCUUUAAGAGAAUGAGAGUGAAGUGCCUGGGUAAUUACCUUCUUUCCUCUGCAGAAGGUUUCAGCCAGACAUGUUGCCCAUUGGUUUCAUAAAGCUAUCUAAAGCCAAGGUUGGCAUAGCACAAAGGGCAAAGGGGUGAGUACUAGCUGAUGGCUGUGACCAUCACACCUUGCUGCAGGAGGCAAGGAAACCUGGAAACUAAAGAAUAUUCUUGGCCUCGGGCGUGGCUGUAAGUGCACAGAGUGCCUGGGUGCCUCACGGAGAAGACUGAUUAAUGGUGUGGGGAUCUGGCCAACUGGCAUGUGGUUCCUUUGAAGAAGGAAACAACCUUCAUUCAGCUUCCAGGACCUUCCGUGAGUUUCAAUGGGCAGAUUCAAGCAGUUGUCAUUUAGAGACUGGAGGGGAUGGAGACCUGGGAGAAAGAAACAGUCACGAGCAGCCUUGGGACAAGGUGCCAUUUCCCCAUCAACGAAACCCACAACAUCUUUGAGCUAUUUUGUGGAUACUGAAACCCCCUCCAGGUGGGAAAAGUUACGGUAUGCUGCCGGCAAGCAGGAAGACCCCAGGUCAUUUAAACCUGAAGGCUGACCUUGUUGACUCCUACUUACCUCACCACAAAUCCAUCAGAAGAAUGUCCACAAGCCGAUUACUCCCUCUUUUACUAUAAAACCUGUCACUAUCUUCCCCAAGUUAAGACACAUGGUUUUGAGGGUGUUAGGCUGCUAUCUCCACUUUUGCCUGGCAAAGCAAUAAAGCGACUCUUUUCUACUUCCCCCCAAA